AAACGUCAUAGACGAAAAUGGUUGUCCAACUUGUGAUUGUUUGCCAGCUCCAUGUGACGAAGGCGACGUGCCUGUAAACUGUUUUGAAAGUCCCUGUCAGUUUGCAACUUGUUCCGUCAAACCAUCACUUUGCAUAGACAACUUUUGUAAAGGAUGCGAUGCAGUUUUCUACGAUGUUAAGGGAAAUGUCAUCGAGGAGUGUCCAACAGUUUGCCCACAAAUUAAAUGUGGAAAUCCAUGCCCGUUUGGAACUGAAGUAACUACAGAGGGUUGCCCAACCUGCAGUUGUCUUCCGAAUCCAGGUACGUAUCUCCUACAUAAAAAAUUGGAUCAAUAUUUUAAUUAA